AGCGCACACGGUGGAUGCCUUGGCGGUCAGAGGCGAUGAAGGACGUGGCAGCCUGCGAAAAGUAUCGGGGAGCUGGCAACAAGCUUUGAUCCGGUAAUGUCCGAAUGGGGAAACCCACCCGCUUGCGGGUAUCCUGCAGUGAAUACAUAGCUGCUGGAAGCGAACCUGGUGAACUGAAAUAUCUAAGUAACCAGAGGAAAAGAAAUCAACCGAGAUUCCGUAAGUAGCGACGAGCGAACGCGGACUAGCCCUUAAGCUGGAUUGGUUCUAGGAAAACGCUCUGGAAAGAGCGGCCAUAGAAGGUGAUAGCCCUGUAUCUGAAAGGGCCAUUCCAGUGAAGACGAGUAGGGCGGGGCACGUGAAACCCUGUCUGAACAUGGGGGGACCAUCCUCCAAGGCUAAAUACUACUGACCGACCGAUAGUGAACCAGUACCGUGAGGGAAAGGCGAAAAGAACCCCGGAGAGGGGAGUGAAAUAGAACCUGAAACCGUGUGCGUACAAGCAGUAGGAGCUCCGCAAGGAGUGACUGCGUACCUUUUGUAUAAUGGGUCAGCGACUUACUGUUCGUGGCAAGCUUAACCGUAUAGGGGAGGCGAAGGGAAACCGAGUCUGAUAAGGGCGCAUAGUCGCGGGCAGUAGACCCGAAACCGGGUGAUCUAGUCAUGCCCAGGGUGAAGGUGCGGUAACACGCACUGGAGGCCCGAACCCACUCCCGUUGCAAAGGUAGGGGAUGAGGUGUGAUUAGGAGUGAAAAGCUAAUCGAACCCGGAGAUAGCUGGUUCUCCUCGAAAGCUAUUUAGGUAGCGCCUCAUAUGUAUCCUCUCGGGGGUAGAGCACUGUUAUGGCUAGGGGGUCAUCGCGACUUACCAAACCAUUGCAAACUCCGAAUACCGAGACGGACUGUAUGGGAGACACACGGCGGGUGCUAACGUCCGUCGUGAAAAGGGAAACAACCCAGACCCACAGCUAAGGUCCCAAAUUCACUGCUAAGUGGAAAACCAUGUGGAAAGGCACAGACAGCCAGGAGGUUGGCUUAGAAGCAGCCACCCUUUAAAGAAAGCGUAAUAGCUCACUGGUCGAGUCGGUCUGCGGGGAAGAUUUAACGGGGCUAAGCAGUGAACCGAAGCUUGGGGUGCAUAACUUUGUUAUGCGCGGUAGAGGAGCGUUCCGUAAGCCGUUGAAGGUGGAUUGAGAAGUCUGCUGGAGGUAUCGGAAGUGCGAAUGCUGACAUGAGUAACGAUAAUGCGGGUGAAAAACCCGCACGCCGAAAGCCCAAGGUUUCCUUGCGCAACGUUAAUCGGCGCAGGGUGAGUCGGCCCCUAAGGCGAGGACGAAAGUCGUAGUCGAUGGGAAGCAGGUUAAUAUUCCUGCACCUCGCGUAAGUGCGAUGGAGGGACGGAGAAGGUUAGGUGUACCAGGCGUUGGUUGUCCUGGGGAAAGGCGGUAGGUUUGGAUCUUUGGCAAAUCCGGGAUCCUUUAAGACCGAGCACCGAGACGAGCCUUUAUGGCGAAGUCACUGAUACCACGCUUCCAGGAAAAGCUCCUAAGCUUCAGCUUACGCAGACCGUACCGUAAACCGACACAGGUGGGUAGGAUGAGAAUUCUCAGGCGCUUGAGAGAACUCGGGUGAAGGAACUAGGCAACAUGGCACCGUAACUUCGGGAGAAGGUGCACCCUUUUUGGUGGCUCGUGCGAGCUAUAGCUGAAGAGGGUCGCAGUAACCAGGCCGCUGCGACUGUUUAUCAAAAACACAGCACUCUGCAAACACGAAAGUGGACGUAUAGGGUGUGACGCCUGCCCGGUGCUGGAAGGUUAAUUGAUGGGGUCAGCCGCAAGGCGAAGCUCUUGAUCGAAGCCCCAGUAAACGGCGGCCGUAACUAUAACGGUCCUAAGGUAGCGAAAUUCCUUGUCGGGUAAGUUCCGACCUGCACGAAUGGCGUAACGACAGCGGCGCUGUCUCCACCCGAGACUCAGUGAAAUUGAAAUCGCUGUGAAGAUGCAGCGUUCCCGUGGCAAGACGGAAAGACCCCGUGAACCUUUACUAUAGCUUUACACUGAACGUUGAGUUCGUCUGUGUAGGAUAGGUGGGAGGCUAUGAAACUGUGGCGCUAGCUGCAGUGGAGCCAUCCUUGAAAUACCACCCUGUCGUGCUUGACGUUCUAACCUGGGCCCAUUAUCUGGGUCGGGGACCGUGUAUGGUGGGUAGUUUGACUGGGGCGGUCUCCUCCUAAAGAGUAACGGAGGAGCUCGAAGGUACGCUCAGCGCGGUCGGACAUCGCGCACUGUGUGCAAAGGCAUAAGCGUGCUUGACUGCAAGAUCGACGGAUCAAGCAGGUAGGAAACUAGGACUUAGUGAUCCGGUGGUUCUGUAUGGAAGGGCCAUCGCUCAACGGAUAAAAGGUACUCCGGGGAUAACAGGCUGAUACCGCCCAAGAGUUCAUAUCGACGGCGGUGUUUGGCACCUCGAUGUCGGCUCAUCACAUCCUGGGGCUGUAGUCGGUCCCAAGGGUAUGGCUGUUCGCCAUUUAAAGUGGUACGCGAGCUGGGUUCAGAACGUCGUGAGACAGUUCGGUCCCUAUCUGCCAUGGGCGUUGGAGAUUUGAGAGGGGCUGCUCCUAGUACGAGAGGACCGGAGUGGACGAACCUCUGGUGUUCCGGUUGUCACGCCAGUGGCAUUGCCGGGUAGCUAUGUUCGGAAGCGAUAACCGCUGAAAGCAUCUAAGCGGGAAGCGCGCCUCAAGAUGAGAUCUCCCGGGGCACAAGCCCCCUGAAGGAACCAUGUAGACUACGUGGUUGA
rnacentral:rRNA from 1 species